rnacentral:rRNA from 1 species
GAUGAACGCUGGCGGCGUGCCUAAUACAUGCAAGUCGAGCGAACAGACGAGGAGCUUGCUCCUCUGACGUUAGCGGCGGACGGGUGAGUAACACGUGGAUAACCUACCUAUAAGACUGGGAUAACUUCGGGAAACCGGAGCUAAUACCGGAUAAUAUAUUGAACCGCAUGGUUCAAUAGUGAAAGACGGUUUUGCUGUCACUUAUAGAUGGAUCCGCGCCGCAUUAGCUAGUUGGUAAGGUAACGGCUUACCAAGGCAACGAUGCGUAGCCGACCUGAGAGGGUGAGCGGCCACACUGGAACUGAGACGCGGUCCAGACUCCUACGGGAGGCAGCAGUAGGGAAUCUUCCGCAAUGGGCGAAAGCCUGACGGAGCAACGCCGCGUGAGUGAUGAAUGUCUUCGGAUCGUAAAACUCUGUUAUUAGGGAAGAACAAAUGUGUAAGUAACUAUGCACGUCUUGACGGUACCUAAUCAGAAAGCCACGGCUAACUACGUGCCAGCCGCCGCCGUAA